ensembl:misc_RNA Metazoa_SRP Metazoan signal recognition particle RNA
GCUGGGCGUGGUGGUGCACGCCUGUAAUCCCAGCUACUUGGGAAGCUGAGGCACAAGAAUCACUUGAACCCAGGAGGUGGAGGUUGCAGUGAGCCAAGACUGCGCCACUGCACUCCAGUCUGGGUGACAGAGUGAGACUCUGUCUCAC